rnacentral:rRNA from 1 species
CGAACGAUGAACCACUUCGGUGGGGAUUAGUGGCGAACGGGUGAGUAACACGUGGGCAAUCUGCCCUGCACUCUGGGACAAGCCCUGGAAACGGGGUCUAAUACCGGAUACGAGCUCCCAUCGCAUGGUGGGGGUUGGAAAGCUCCGGCGGUGCAGGAUGAGCCCGCGGCCUAUCAGCUUGUUGGUGAGGUAACGGCUCACCAAGGCGACGACGGGUAGCCGGCCUGAGAGGGCGACCGGCCACACUGGGACUGAGACACGGCCCAGACUCCUACGGGAGGCAGCAGUGGGGAAUAUUGCACAAUGGGCGAAAGCCUGAUGCAGCGACGCCGCGUGAGGGAUGACGGCCUUCGGGUUGUAAACCUCUUUCAGCAGGGAAGAAGCGAAAGUGACGGUACCUGCAGAAGAAGCGCCGGCUAACUACGUGCCAGCAGCCGCGGUAAUACGUAGGGCGCAAGCGUUGUCCGGAAUUAUUGGGCGUAAAGAGCUCGUAGGCGGCUUGUCGCGUCGGAUGUGAAAGCCCGGGGCUUAACCCCGGGUCUGCAUUCGAUACGGGCAGGCUAGAGUUCGGUAGGGGAGAUCGGAAUUCCUGGUGUAGCGGUGAAAUGCGCAGAUAUCAGGAGGAACACCGGUGGCGAAGGCGGAUCUCUGGGCCGAUACUGACGCUGAGGAGCGAAAGCGUGGGGAGCGAACAGGAUUAGAUACCCUGGUAGUCCACGCCGUAAACGGUGGGCACUAGGUGUGGGCAACAUUCCACGUUGUCCGUGCCGCAGCUAACGCAUUAAGUGCCCCGCCUGGGGGAGUAC